rnacentral:rRNA from 1 species
UAGGGAAUCUUCGGCAAUGGGGGCAACCCUGACCGAGCAACGCCGCGUGAGUGAAGAAGGUUUUCGGAUCGUAAAGCUCUGUUGUAAGAGAAGAGCGAGUGUGAGAGUGGAAAGUUCACACUGUGACGGUAUCUUACCAGAAAGGGACGGCUAACUACGUGCCAGCAGCCGCGGUAAUACGUAGGUCCCGAGCGUUGUCCGGAUUUAUUGGGCGUAAAGCGAGCGCAGGCGGUUAGAUAAGUCUGAAGUUAAAGGCUGUGGCUUAACCAUAGUACGCUUUGGAAACUGUUUAACUUGAGUGCAAGAGGGGAGAGUGGAAUUCCAUGUGUAGCGGUGAAAUGCGUAGAUAUAUGGAGGAACACCGGUGGCGAAAGCGGCUCUCUGGCUUGUAACUGACGCUGAGGCUCGAAAGCGUGGGGAGCAAACAGGAUUAGAUACCCUGGUAGUCCACGCCGUAAACGAUGAGUGCUAGGUGUUAGACCCUUUCCGGGGUUUAGUGCCGUAGCUAACGCAUUAAGCACUCCGCCUGGGGAGUACGACCGCAAGGUUG